rnacentral:rRNA from 1 species
UGGGGAAUCUUGCACAAUGGGGGCAACCCUGAUGCAGCGACGCCGCGUGAGCGAUGAAGCCCUUCGGGGCGUAAGCUCUUUCGACCGGAACGAUAAUGACGGUACCGGGAGAAGAAGCUGCGGCUAACUACGUGCCAGCAGCCGCGGUAAUACGUAGGCAGCAAGCGUUGUUCGGAGUUACUGGGCGUAAAGAGUGCGUAGGCGGUUUUCUAAGUUCGGUGUGAAAUCUCCCGGCUUAACUGGGAGGGUGCGCCGAAGACUGGGAAGCUGGAGUGUGGGAAAGGCAGGCGGAAUUCCUGGUGUAGCGGUGAAAUGCGUAGAUAUCAGGAGGAACACCGGCGGUGUAGACGGCUUGCUAGACCAUAACUGACGCUGAGGCACGAAAGCGUGGGUAGCAAAC